rnacentral:rRNA from 1 species
AUUGAACGCUGGCGGCAGGCCUAACACAUGCAAGUCGAACGAGUGGCGGACGGGUGAGUAAUGUCUGGGAAACUGCCUGAUGGAGGGGGAUAACUACUGGAAACGGUAGCUAAUACCGCAUACCAUCAGAUGUGCCCAGAUGGGAUUAGCUAGUGGGUGGGGUAACGGCUCACCAAGGCGACGAUCCCUAGCUGGUCUGAGAGGAUGACCAGCCACACGGGAACUGAGACACGGUCCAGACUCCUACGGGAGGCAGCAGUGGGGAAUAUUGCACAAUGGGCGCAAGCCUGAUGGAGCCAUGCCGCGUGAGUGAAGAAGGCCUUCGGAUUGUAAAGUACUUUCAGCAGGGAAGCGGUACCCAAAGAGGAAGCAACGGCUAACUCCGUGCCAGCCGCCGCGGUAAUUC